AUUGAACGCUGGCGGCAUGCCUUACACAUGCAAGUCGAACGGUAACAGGUCUUCGGAUGCUGACGAGUGGCGAACGGGUGAGUAAUACAUCGGAACGUGCCCGAUCGUGGGGGAUAACUACUCGAAAGAGUAGCUAAUACCGCAUACGAUCUACGGAUGAAAGCGGGGGAUCUUCGGACCUCGUGCGGACGGAGCGGCCGAUGGCAGAUUAGGUAGUUGGUGGGAUAAAAGCUUACCAAGCCGACGAUCUGUAGCUGGUCUGAGAGGACGACCAGCCACACUGGGACUGAGACACGGCCCAGACUCCUACGGGAGGCAGCAGUGGGGAAUUUUGGACAAUGGGCGAAAGCCUGAUCCAGCAAUGCCGCGUGCAGGAUGAAGGCCUUCGGGUUGUAAACUGCUUUUGUACGGAACGAAAAGACUCCUUCUAAUACAGGGGGUCCAUGACGGUACCGUAAGAAUAAGCACCGGCUAACUACGUGCCAGCAGCCGCAGUAAUAC
rnacentral:rRNA from 1 species